rnacentral:lncRNA from 1 species
GUCUAUCUGUAAAAAUCCUGUUCCCUGUUGCGGUGCAGGAGCAGCUGAAUGAUUGCUGGGUUUUCAGACAAGCCGCAGAAAUACAGGCCGGAGCUUGCAGACCUGAAAGAGCCAGACAGCCUUCAUGGAAGCUGCGCAGAGGGAAUACUUAUCUGUGCAGACACCACCUCAUGGGUUCAGACCUGUGCAUCUGCUUUAGAAGCC